AAGCUCCAGAAAUGGAGUCUAAUACCGCAUAUGGUCUUCGGAUUAAAGGAUUUAUCCGCUUUGGGAGUGGCCUGCGUACGAUUAGAUAGUUGGUGAGGUAAUGGCUUACCAAGUCUACGAUCGUUAACUGGUCUGAGAGGAUGAUCAGUCAGACUGGAACUGAGACACGGUCCAGACUCCUACGGGAGGCAGCAGUGAGGAAUCUUCCACAAUGGGCGAAAGCCUGAUGGAGCAACGCCGCGUGCAGGAUGAAGGCCCUCGGGUCGUAAACUGCUUUUAUAAGUGAAGAAUAUGACGGUAACUUAUGAAUAAGCACCGGCUAACUACGUGCCAGCAGCCGCG
rnacentral:rRNA from 1 species